UAGAGUUUGAUCCUGGCUCAGGACGAACGCUGGCGGCGUGCUUAACACAUGCAAGUCGAACGAUGAAGCGGUGCUUGCACCGUGGAUUAGUGGCGAACGGGUGAGUAAUACGUGAGUGACCUACCUUUGACUCUGGGAUAAGCCUGGGAAACUGGGUCUAAUACCGGAUACGACCAAUCUCUGCAUGGGGUGUUGGUGGAAAGCGUUAUGGAGUGGUUUUAGAUGGGCUCACGGCCUAUCAGCUUGUUGGUGAGGUAAUGGCUUACCAAGGCGACGACGGGUAGCCGGCCUGAGAGGGUGACCGGCCACACUGGGACUGAGACACGGCCCAGACUCCUACGGGAGGCAGCAGUGGGGAAUAUUGCACAAUGGGCGCAAGCCUGAUGCAGCGACGCCGCGUGAGGGAUGACGGCCUUCGGGUUGUAAACCUCUGUUAGCAUCGAAGAAGCGAAAGUGACGGUAGGUGCAGAGAAAGCGCCGGCUAACUACGUGCCAGCCGCCGCGGUAAUUC
rnacentral:rRNA from 1 species